CAAAAACAUAACUAUAUGAUAUAAUAUAUAGCAUUUUCUGCUCCAUGGUGUUACUAAAUAGCCGCAGUACCCUGACUGUGCAAAGGUAGCAUAAUCAAUUGGCUUCUAAUUAGAGUCUUGUAUGAACGAAGUUAUGGGAAGUGACUAUCUAAGUAGGUUUCUUUGAAUUUAACAAGUAAGUGCAAAUGCUUACAAGUAAUUAAGAAGGACGAGAAGACCCUAGAAACUUAUUAAAUUAUUUUGUUGGGGCGACAGAAUUACAUGGAACUAAUUUUAUUUAACUUGACGUAAAGCAGAUAGAAAAAGUUACUCUAGGGAUAACAGCAUAAUUUUACCGUUUGUGACCUCGAUGUUGGACUAGGAAAAUAACUCUUUAGAAGAGAGAUAAUUUUGCUCUGUUCGAGCAGUUUUACCUACGUGAUCUGA
rnacentral:rRNA from 1 species